rnacentral:rRNA from 1 species
GAUGAACGCUGGCGGCGUGCCUAAUACAUGCAAGUCGAACGCAUUGAGAGAAGUGCUUGCACUUUUCAAUUUGAGUGGCGAACGGGUGAGUAACACGUGGGCAACCUACCUGAUAGCGGGGGAUAACGAGUGGAAACAUUCGCUAAUACCGCAUAACAAUAGAGAAGGCAUCUUCUUUAUUUAAAAGGCGCUUUCAAGCGUCACUAUCAGAUGGGCCCGCGGUGCAUUAGUUAGUUGGGGGGGUGAAGGCCUACCAAGACGAUGAUGCAUAGCCGGGUUGAGAGACUGAUCGGCCACAUUGGGACUGAGACACGGCCCAAACUCCUACGGGAGGCUGCAGUAGGGAAUCUUCCACAAUGGACGAAAGUCUGAUGGAGCAACGCCGCGUGUGUGAUGAAGGCUUUCGGGUCGUAAAGCACUGUUGUAUGGGAAGAAAUGCUAGGCUAGGAAAUGAGCUUAGUUUGACGGUACCAUACCAGAAAGGGACGGCUAAAUACGUGCCAGCCGCCGCGGUAA